UGUUUAUCUUCUUCAUAACAGCAUGAUACUGUUGUUUCAUAUUCAAAUUUUAAAACAGCUGUCCUGCAGGUCAUUUUCUGCAACUCUGCAUCUUCAAGAACAGCGAGAAAGAAGAUCCACGGAACUAUGGGCAGUCAGCCUAAUCUCCAUUCACAAGAAGAUAAUGGAAUAAAUCCUCCUGGCAGUUAUGUGUUGAUAGAGAAAGCUAUUUAAACUCUACCUCGAUGACUGGAAAAGAAAGUUACCAAAACAUAAAGAGGACUGGGUGUGGGAGAAGAAAAAGAACCCCGGGAGGAAAAGAAUAUGUAGCUCUGUUUUGAAACAGCGAACUUUAUCAACUUCUAUUUUCUUAAAAAACAAGGAAAAUCAUGUAAAGACAAACUCUAACUCCUUUGAAAAUGCAUGUACGCAGGAUUUAAUGUGAGAAGAUGAAAGAGACUGAGACAUUGAGAAAGCUGAAGUGUAGGAGGCAUGUAUCACUCCUGUUAUUGUUGUUGCAGAAUUGCAAUUGUCCACAGGGAACUGUCUUGUUAAGGGAAAAUGCUUGAAAAUUUGUGUGAAAUGAGUGUUAAAGUCAGGCUUAAGAAGACAAUUUUACUAUUGAAAAAUAUCACUACUGAGAAGGAGUUCUACCUAUUCUACUGUAAUUAUUCAUUUACUGAAAACUAUGAAAGUUUUAAGGGAGAAUAAGCAUUAACUAAAUUGUAACUUGCUGUUGUAAUUCCAAACAAUCCAUUUUGUAUGGAGAAGUAUAAAGCAUAACUAAGUCAUGACUAACAACAUAAAAGAUGCUACUGUUUUCUCUUCUGCCCAUUUAUCCAAUGUUAUCACAGGUAGUAAUUAAACUCUUAAAAUAAAGCAGAAAUUCUACUUUUUUUUUGCUUAAUAAUAGUUGAUUUUAGAGCUGUGAACAAUCAUUAGAUCUUAAUUUCCUCAUUUUGCCAAAUAGUAACAUAUCUUUGUAUGCAGUAGCCCUCCAAAUUUCAAAUAAUGACUAUGUCAGCCAGAUUUGA